rnacentral:rRNA from 1 species
CGGACGGGUGAGUAAUGCCUAGGAAUCUGCCUGGUAGUGGGGGACAACGUUUUGAAAGGAACGCUAAUACCGCAUACGUCCUACGGGAGAAAGCAGGGGACCUUCGGGCCUUGCGCUAUCAGAUGAGCCUAGGUCGGAUUAGCUAGUUGGUGAGGUAAUGGCUCACCAAGGCGACGAUCCGUAACUGGUCUGAGAGGAUGAUCAGUCACACUGGAACUGAGACACGGUCCAGACUCCUACGGGAGGCAGCAGU